rnacentral:rRNA from 1 species
AGUGGCGGACGGGUGAGUAACGCGUAAGAAUCUAACUUCAGGACGGGGACAACAGUGGGAAACGACUGCUAAUACCCGAUGUGCCGCGAGGUGAAACCUAAUUAGCCUGAAGAAGAGCUUGCGUCUGAUUAGCUAGUUGGUGGGGUAAGAGCCUACCAAGGCGACGAUCAGUAGCUGGUCUGAGAGGAUGAGCAGCCACACUGGGACUGAGACACGGCCCAGACUCCUACGGGAGGCAGCAGUGGGGAAUUUUCCGCAAUGGGCGAAAGCCUGACGGAGCAACGCCGCGUGAGGGAGGAAGGUCUUUGGAUUGUAAACCUCUUUUCUCAAGGAAGAAGUUCUGACGGUACUUGAGGAAUCAGCCUCGGCUAACUCCGUGCCAGCAGCCGCGGUAAUACGGGGGAGGCAAGCGUUAUCCGGAAUUAUUGGGCGUAAAGCGUCCGCAGGUGGUCAGCCAAGUCUGCCGUCAAAUCAGGUUGCUUAACGACCUAAAGGCGGUGGAAACUGGCAGACUAGAGAGCAGUAGGGGUAGCAGGAAUUCCCAGUGUAGCGGUGAAAUGCGUAGAGAUUGGGAAGAACAUCGGUGGCGAAAGCGUGCUACUGGGCUGUAUCUGACACUCAGGGACGAAAGCUAGGGGAGCGAAAGGGAUUAGAUACCCCUGUAGUCCUAGCCGUAAACGGUGGAUACUAGGCGUGGCUU